rnacentral:rRNA from 1 species
ACUGAGGGGUUCUCCGGCUCACUGUGGGAAUGGAGCACGGCCUCCAUAUUCUUUGCGGGAGGCCAGCAGUGGGGAAUUCUCCCCAAGGGAACCCAUUUCUGAUGGAACAACCCCCCCUGAAUGAAGAAGGCUUUCGGGUCGUAAAACUCUGUUGUAGAAGAAGAAUGUUCGGCAGAGUAACUGUUGUCGGCGUGACGGUAUCCAACCAGAAAGCCACGGCUAACUACGUGCCAGCAGCCGCGGUAAUACGUAGGUGGCAAGCGUUAUCCGGAUUUAUUGGGCGUAAAGCGAGCGCAGGCGGUUUUUUAAGUCUGAUGUGAAAGCCCUCGGCUUAACCGAGGAAGCGCAUCGGAAACUGGGAAACUUGAGUGCAGAAGAGGACAGUGGAACUCCAUGUGUAGCGGUGAAAUGCGUAGAUAUAUGGAAGAACACCAGUGGCGAAGGCGGCUGUCUGGUCUGUAACUGACGCUGAGGCUCGAAAGCAUGGGUAGCGAACAGGAUUAGAUACCCUGGUAGUCCAUGCCGUAAACGAUGAAUGCUAGGUGUUGGAGGGUUUCCGCCCUUCAGUGCCGCAGCUAACGCAUUAAGCAUUCCGCCUGGGGAGUACGACCGCAAGGUUGAAACUCAAAGGAAUUGACGGGGGCCCGCACAAGCGGUGGAGCAUGUGGUUUAAUUCGAAGCAACGCGAAGAACCUUACCAGGUCUUGACAUCUUUUGAUCACCUGAGAGAUCAGGUUUCCCCUUCGGGGGCAAAAUGACAGGUGGUGCAUGGUUGUCGUCAGCUCGUGUCGUGAGAUGUUGGGUUAAGUCCCGCAACGAGCGCAACCCUUAUGACUAGUUGCCAGCAUUUAGUUGGGCACUCUAGUAAGACUGCCGGUGACAAACCGGAGGAAGGUGGGGAUGACGUCAAAUCAUCAUGCCCCUUAUGACCUGGGCUACACACGUGCUACAAUGGAUGGUACAACGAGUUGCGAGACCGCGAGGUCAAGCUAAUCUCUUAAAGCCAUUCUCAGUUCGGACUGUAGGCUGCAACUCGCCUACACGAAGUCGGAAUCGCUAGUAAUCGCGGAUCAGCACGCCGCGGUGAAUACGUUCCCGGGCCUUGUACACACCGCCCGUCACACCAUGAGAGUUUGUAACACCCGAAGCCGGUGGCGUAACCCUUUAGGGAGCGAGCCGUCUAAGUGGACCAAGAUUGCU